rnacentral:snRNA from 1 species
AGAUUUGCUUAGUGGCAGUAUUCAUAGCCAAAGGAAUGAUUAUUGCUAAUUGAAAACUUUUCCCAAUACCUGCCAUGGAUGACUUGAAAUAUAGUCAGGCACUGGCAAUUUUGAGGUCUCUAUGGAA